GUUUUGUGUGAAAGGUGAGAAGGUUAGCACUCCACUUGACAAGGAUGGAAGAGUCCCUUUGGGCCUGACAACACACAUACAAGGCAUUGCCACAUGGCAUCUAACUAUCUUU
ensembl:snRNA